rnacentral:rRNA from 1 species
UGAGCAAUCUGUCCUUCUUAUCGGAAUAAGCGUUGGAAACGACGUCUAAUGCCGAAUACGACCUCCUUUCGCAUGAUCGGAGGUGGAAAGCUCCGGCGGAGAAGGAUGAGCUCGCGGCCUAUCAGCUUGUUGGUGAGGUAAUAGCUCACCAAGGCGAUGACGGGUAGCCGGCCUGAGAGGGUGACCGGCCACACUGGGACUGAGACACGGCCCAGACUCCUAGGGAGG